CAGCCAGCAAGCAGCAGUUUCUGGCUGGGUAAGCUGACUUUCCCUUCCAUGGUGGCAGAUGCAGGUGUCUUUCAUUUCUGAUGGGCUGGCAGCGGCAAAAGUUUAGACAGUAUCCAUGUCCUCCCCACCCAAUGCAAUGUAGCUUUGCAGCAUCAUGAUUUCAGUUCUGAUGUGACGUUUUUUGUCAUACAUCCCACUUUGUCUCAUCUAAAGUUCAUCUAGUCUACUGUAUCAAAUGGAAGAACAUCAUCUGAGUGGAAUGAACGAAACAGGGCCAAAGUUCCUGUUAUGAAAUGGAUGGAGAUAAUCCUGUACUAAAGAAGGACUCCUAUAAUUGAACAGUUAGAAAGUAAAGAAGAACUUUGCUAUUUUGGGAAAGAGUUGAAAGAGGGAAUUCCAAAAGACACAAAGGGAGAAGGAUGGAAUUCCAGCUCAGCCCAUGAAUCAAUCAAUUUGGAAAAUAACCAAUUUGAGACAAAAUGGUGCCACAGCAAAGAUGCUUCAAACUGGAACAAUAAAGUUCUCCACAGAUUGCUACAGCUAUGGAACAAUUACAGAGAAACUUCUAAACAUCAGGUGGUAUUGCUGGAGAUACAUGGAAAUGGUCCAUGGGGAAGAAGCAUUUACGGUGUCAUAAGCACAUUCAUUUCCUCCUGUUUUUAUGCCACCCUCCUAAUAUGGCAGCAACACUGCUGAGGACAGAAGGAGAGAAUUUGUCAGCAUAGGGAAACACAGGCCUUGAACAGAAGCUCUCUCUCCACCUUUCCAGGCUGCAGUUGAGCUCUGAGGAGCUGAUAUGAACUCAUCUGGCCUUGGCUCUUCUUUUAUAAAGUUGUGACAAAACACCUCAUAAACUCUUACUAAGUUCUUGGAAAAUCUAGCAGCUGACAUUUAGCACAGGCUAACCCAGGCGGUUCUGAACUACCUGCAGUGCUGCGGGCAUCUGUUAUCUCCCCACUGUCAUGGAUGGAUCACCAUCUGGUUAAGAAUAUCAGACUUCAAUAUGACACAUGACAAAGGAGUGUGAGCAACUGGAAUACAUCUCAAAAUAAAAGCUGCAAAGAAAAAUAUGCCCACCAAAAUAAACGGAUUACCUUUAUUGCUACUGAGGUCACUCUUUGGAGUGUGUUGUUCAUCCAUUUGCUGAAACCAAGCAAUAUUUAUUCAGCUUAGUAUUUGCUCCUGCCCUUAUGGAUCUUAUUAGCAAAGUCUGAAGAUUAUAUCCACUAGAUGGCAGUAAUAGACAGGA